UACGAAGGGGGCUAGCGUUGCUCGGAUUUACUGGGCGUAAAGGGCGCGUAGGCGGAUGUUUAAGUCGGGGGUGAAAGCCCAGGGCUCAACCCUGGAACUGCCUUCGAUACUGGACAUCUUGAGUACGGGAGAGGUGAGUGGAACUCCGAGUGUAGAGGUGAAAUUCGUAGAUAUUCGGAAGAACACCAGUGGCGAAGGCGACUCACUGGCCCGUUACUGACGCUGAGGCGCGAAAGCGUGGGGAGCAAACAGG
rnacentral:rRNA from 1 species